rnacentral:rRNA from 1 species
GACGAACGCUGGCGGCGUGCCUAAUACAUGCAAGUCGAGCGCAGGAAGCUCACGGAACUCCUCGGAGGGAAGUGAAGGGAAUGAGCGGCGGACGGGUGAGUAACACGUAAGGAACCUGCCCCAAGGAUUGGGAUAACUCCGAGAAAUCGGAGCUAAUACCGAAUAGUUCUUCAGACCGCAUGGUCUGAUGAUGAAAGGCGCUUCGGCGUCACCUUGGGAUGGCCUUGCGGUGCAUUAGCUAGUUGGUGGGGUAAUGGCCCACCAAGGCGACGGGGCAUAGCCGCACUGGGAGGGUGUACUGCCACACUGGGACUGAGAAACGGCCCAGGUUCCUAAGGGAGGCAGCAGUAGGGAGUCUGCCAAGAUGGGCGAAAGUCUGAUGGAGCAAAGCCGCGUGAGUGAUGAAGGUUUUCGGGUCGUAGAAGUAUGUUGUAAGGGAAGAACAGGUAUGAGAGGUAAUGCUCAUGCUAUGACGGUACCUUGCGAGGAAGCCACGGCUAACUACGUGCCAGCAGCCGCGGUAAAAC